UGGGGAAUAUUGCGCAAUGGGCGAAAGCCUGACGCAGCAACGCCGCGUGAGUGAUGAAGGCCUUCGGGUCGUAAAGCUCUGUCGGAGGGAACGAAUGCUCCUGAAGUUAACAGCCUCAGGAGGUGACGGUACCCUCAAAGGAAGCACCGGCUAACUCUGUGCCAGCAGCCGCGGUAAUACAGAGGGUGCAAGCGUUGUUCGGAAUCAUUGGGCGUAAAGGGCGUGUAGGCGGUAUGUUAAGUCAGACGUGAAAUCCCCCGGCUUAACCUGGGAACUGCGUCUGAUACUGGAGGGCUUGAGUAUGGGAGAGGGAUGUAGAAUUCCAGGUGUAGCGGUGAAAUGCGUAGAUAUCUGGAGGAAUACCGGUGGCGAAGGCGGCAUCCUGGACCAUUACUGACGCUGAGGCGCGAAAGCUAGGGGAGCAAACGGGAUUAGAUACCCACGUAGUCCCUGAGCGGGCUGGCAAGGCGCAU
rnacentral:rRNA from 1 species